GACGAACGCUGGCGGCGUGCUUAACACAUGCGAGUCGAACGAUGAAGAAAAGAAUCGAAGCUUCGGCAGAAAUUCAUUUCGGAUUAGUGGCAGACGGGUGAGUAACGCGUGAGCAACCUACCUCUUACAAAGGGAUAGCCUCGGGAAACCGGGAUUAAUACCAUAUAACAUUGCGACGAAGCAUUUCGAUGCAAUCAAAGCUACGGCGGUAAGAGAUGGGCUCGCGUCCCAUUAACCGGAUGGUGAGGUAACGGCUCACCAUAGUGACGAUGGGUAACCGGCCUGAGAGGGUGAACGGUCACACUGGAACUGAGACACGGUCCAGACUCCUACGGGAGGCAGCAGUGGGGAAUAUUGCACAAUGGAGGGAACUCUGAUGCAGCGACGCCGCGUGAGUGAUGAAGGAAUUCGUUUCGUAAAACUCUGUUCUAUGGGAAGAAAAGGACUGUACCAUAGGAGAAAGCUCCGGCUAAAUACGUG
rnacentral:rRNA from 1 species